AGUAAAUUAAUAUUUAAGUUUAAAUCUCGGUUACAAAUAUUUACUUAAGUUUAAUUUUUGGUAGUAAUAAUACCUACAUCAUAUAUCCCUGAUUGGUCUUGAUCAUUAAUUUUUUUUUUUGAGUAAUUUGCGGCAUAAAUACCUAAGUUUUAUGCCGAGUAGCAGAUAAAUACUUAAGUCGUAUUUUUGGCGGUAAAAAUACCUUCCGUCACUAGUGUGGAACUUCCGUAAGUACCUGGCCGUUAUGUGCCAGGUUAGUGUCCACGUGUCACUUUGUGAUUAGUCCAGAUCAUUUAAUUUUUAAUUUUUUUUUGUAAAUUAAUUUAAAAAUUAAAAAUAAAACAAAAAUAAUUUAAAAUUAAAAUAAAAUCAUAAAUAUUUAAUUUUUAUAUUUUAAUUAAAUUAAAAUAAAAUAAAAUAAAUAAAUCAUUAAUUAAAACCCCAAAACUAAAACUGACAAAAGAAAAUUGGAAUUCAUCCUCUUCAUCGUCCUCUUCUUCUUCCUGCCAUUUUCUUCUUCUUGCUGAAACUUUAAUUCCAGUCUAAUCUUGUCUACAUCUCUAUCCCAUUUCUCUAUCAAAAACCCUAAUUUAUUUUUCCCAUUUUUCACAAAAAUCAAACCAAGAAAAGAAAUUUACUUCAAUCAUGGGUCAGUUUAACUCUUCGCCUGGACAUCCUUCGUCGGAGGUUGAUGGUUCUCCCUGCUCAGAGCCGGACGGAGCAACUCCGGCCGUCUAUGGCUCCAACGGACUUCACCACCUUGAAAACCCUUAGAUCUGUAUCUCUCACGCUCUUUUCUCUCUCCCUGCGGUAUCCUUCUCUCAGUUUCUCUCUAUGGAUGUUCUACGCGGUUGGGUACUCAAGCAAUAAAUUCUCUUCCAGAGACCUCUCGUAAUAGAAGUGGCGAAGAUGGGAGUUGGGACAUGGAGGCUAGUGAAGUUAAACCUAAAAGUUUCUCCCAUGAGAACAAGGUGGAGAAACUUUCAAAGCAGAAAACAUAUAUAUGGGCUUUUUAGUAAUUUAUGGACUGCCUAUGGAGGUAAGGUUGCUAGCAAUCACACCAAGAGAUUAAAAGAUGGAGAAGAAUAAAUGGAAUAUCCAUCAUCCACUGAAGCUUUAAAUGAGGCGCAGAUAGAUGUUGGUGAGUGAUGAGGUUUUCGACCGCAUGUGAUGUUGCUACAGGUUGAAGUCGGAUCUGAGUAAAAAAAAAUAAGGGAAGAUCAAUAGAUGAGUUUGAAUUGGGAUUAGAAAUUUUCUGGGUUCGGAGCAAUGCAUGAAUUUAAAUGAAUAUAUUAAAUGUGUUUAAUUUUAUUUUAAGUAUGUCAUUUAAUUUUUUUAAUAAAUUAUGUUUAAUUGUAAUAUAAUUUUUACAUUUUUUAAUGAUUUUUUUU